rnacentral:tRNA from 1 species
AGGACUGUAGUUAAUUAUAACAUUUGAUUUGCAUUCAAAAGGUAUUGGACUCAAUCUGUCUUA